GACGAACGCUGGCGGCGUGCUUAACACAUGCAAGUCGAACGGAAAGGCCCUGCUUUUGUGGGGUGCUCGAGUGGCGAACGGGUGGGUAACACGUGAGUAACCUGCCCUUGACUUUGGGAUAACUUCAGGAAACUGGGGCUAAUACCGGAUAGGAGCUCCUGCUGCAUGGUGGGGGUUGGAAAGUUUCGGCGGUUGGGGAUGGACUCGCGGCUUAUCAGCUUGUUGGUGGGGUAGUGGCUUACCAAGGCUUUGACGGGUAGCCGGCCUGAGAGGGUGACCGGCCACAUUGGGACUGAGAUACGGCCCAGACUCCUACGGGAGGCAGCAGUGGGGAAUAUUGCACAAUGGGCGGAAGCCUGAUGCAGCAACGCCGCGUGCGGGAUGACGGCCUUCGGGUUGUAAACCGCUUUCGCCUGUGACGAAGCGUGAGUGACGGUAAUGGGUAAAGAAGCACCGGCUAACUACGCG
rnacentral:rRNA from 1 species